UGUGCAAAAACGACCUGCUCUUUGCAAAAAAGAUUUAAAACAUUCUGUUUCGGUUGUUGAGAAACUGAAAAUGUGAGACGUAGUUGGUAGCGAAUUAUCACCAGAAUACGCAGAAGAAACAGCAAAAAGCAGAUGGAAGAGUCUGCGUGACCAAUAGAAACGUUCUCAGGCGAGUGACAAGCCGGCCAGCUUCCGUUAUUACCGACAUUUGCGAUUUUUAGAUGAGCAGUCUAGUGAAAACACGCCAUCCUCAAGCAACACUCCGAAACGUGCUGGGACUGAAAGAGGAAAGAAGAACACUAGCAGGGAUACAACAAAAAUUAAGAAAGACAUCGGAAAUUUAUCGAAAUAUUGGAAGAAGAGUACAGUCAACAGGAGUACGAGGGAGCGCAGCGAGAUUCUAAUUAAUAUCAUUCAGUAUUAU